CGCGGGGUGGAGCAGUUCGGUAGCUCGCUGGGCUCAUAACCCAGAGGUCGCAGGUUCAAAUCCUGUCCCCGCAA
rfam:Sinomonas sp. R1AF57 chromosome.